rnacentral:lncRNA from 1 species
ACCUACAGUCUAGAUUCUAGACUCUUUCUAGGGCUCGCUUCACCUGCCUAUAAUACCUUCUCCGUUCCUGGUUUGCGGUUCUAGGUCAAUGUGAUCUCUUUCCUCCUACUCCAGGCCUUGGUUUCCAUCAGUUCGCUCUCCUGUUUCUAUCUAAUCUCUGUUCUUGCCUCUCUGUAUCUUCUCCCAGUUUCCAGGCAGCCAGGAUAAUUACUAAACUUCUAAUUAGCCCCUGCCCUAACAAGGGUGGGUCUAGCAAGAAAGGCAGCAAUUUUGAAAGUGUCUUGGGGAUAGGUGGGGGGAGAACCUAUAUGUUGGGGCCUAGUAUAAACCAGGCACAAAGACAGACACAUGACACACUUUAUCUCAUUUCGUUCUUUCAGUUUUGCAAGGUAGGUGUUUUUAGAGACAAGGAGAGUGAGAGGCUCAGAGAGGUUGGGUAACUUGCACAAGAGCACCCAGCUGGCGAAUGGUAGCUGUCUGACUCCAAAAUCUCAGUUCUUACACCUCACAUUCUGGCACAGGGGCUAAAGCAAGGCUGCUGAAGGAUAGCUGCUUGAGAAUCACCCCACCCGGACCUGGAGCCUCCCCUCUUUCUGACCCUCACCCCCAGCCUUGAGGAGAGUAGGGGAUUGACUAGAGAUGGAGGAAGACCUGAGAACCCAGCUGGAAGUGGGAAGCCUUUGAAUCCCCAGCACAAGAAGCCCCCUCCAAGAAGCCUUUCCUGAUUCCCUCAGGCCCAGCUCAGAAGCACUCAAGCCCGGAUGUCUAGGUUGUAAAAAAUAAAGGUUGACAUCAGUUCAGCCCCCUAAAGGGUCAAACAGCUUUUCUACAUCUUUUCUCCUCUCUGGAUCUUCCUCAACAACAGGAGAUAGAUGUGGUGAUCAGCUCCCUUUUCCAAACUGGGGUUCAGACGGGUGCAGGGCCUCGCCAAAGGCUCCCAGGGAGGCAGCAGCAGAGCUGAGAUCCAGCUCUCUUUACGACUCCCUCCUGGGAAGGCU